GAUGUCCAAAGAGUCGUUCUUAGGGACUUUCCGUUCAGUAUUUGCCUCGGAGUUCGGUAGUUUUGUUAUUUUACUUUUGUCAUGUCUGUUUGUCUUUAAAAAUGGUCACUGUUUUUGUUCAUAGACAAAAGAUACGAGUGAUGUGGUCUUUUAUUACCAUUCCCAAUGCGCGAUAGGGGACUCUUUGACAAUGACAACAACAAAAAAGCAAUUGUAAAGACCUUUACAUAUAAG
rnacentral:lncRNA from 1 species